rnacentral:rRNA from 1 species
UCCAGACUCCUACGGGAGGCAGCAGUGGGGGAUAUUGCACAACGGGGGAAACCCUGAUGCAGCGACGCCGCGUGGGUGAAGAAGUAUUUCGGUAUGUAAAGCCCUAUCAGCAGGGAAGAAAGAAGACGGUACCUGACUAAGAAGCCCCGGCUAACUACGUGCCAGCAGCCGCGGUAAUACGUAGGGGGCAAGCGUUAUCCGGAUUUACUGGGUGUAAAGGGAGCGCAGACGGCUGUGCAAGUCUGGAGUGAAAGGCGGGGGCCCAACCCCCGGACUGCUCUGGAAACUGUAAAGCUGGAGUGCAGGAGAGGGAAGCGGAAUUCCUAGUGUAGCGGUGAAAUGCGUAGAUAUUAGGAGGAACACCAGUGGCGAAGGCGGCGUACUGGACUGCAACUGACGUUGAGGCUCGAAAGCGUGGGGAGCAAACAGGAUUAGAUACCCUCGUACCA